GGUUAGCUCAGUCAGUAGGGCAUGAGACUCUUAAUCACUUAAUCUCCGGGUUGUGGGUUCAAGCCCUGUGUUGGACA